UGAGGAAUAUUGCGCAAUGGCCGAAAGGCUGACGCAGCGACGCCGCGUGAAGGAUGAGGUAUUUCGGUAUGUAAACUUCGAAAGAAUAGGAAGAAUAAAUGACGGUACUAUUUAUAAGGUCCGGCUAACUACGUGCCAGCAGCUGCGGUAAUACGUAGGGACCAAGCGUUGUUCGGAUUUACUGGGCGUAAAGGGCGCGUAGGCGGCAAUUCAAGUCAUCUGUGAAAUCUCCGGGCUUAACUCGGAACGGUCAGAUGAUACUGCUUUGCCAGAGUGCAGAAGGGGCAAUCGGAAUUCUUGGUGUAGCGGUGAAAUGCGUAGAUAUCAAGAGGAACACCUGAGGUGAAGACGGGUUGCUGGGCUGACACUGACGCUGAGGCGCGAAAGCCAGGGGAGCAAACGGGAUUAGAUACCCUAGUAGUCCCUGAGCGGGCUGGCAAGGCGCAU
rnacentral:rRNA from 1 species